rnacentral:rRNA from 1 species
CCUAUGGGGGGCAGCAGUCGCGAAAACUUCACAAUGGAGGCAACUCCGAUGAGGGAAUUCCUAGUGCCAAUGCAUUUUGUGUUGGCUUUUCUUCAGCGUAGAUAACUGUUGGAAUAAGGGCUGGGUAAGACGGGUGCCAGCCGCCGCGGUAAUACCCGCAGCCCAAGUGGUGGUCGAUAUUAUUGAGUCUAAAACGUUCGUAGCCGGUUCAAUAAAUCUCUGGGUAAAUCGGAGGGCUUAACCUUCCGAAUUCCGGAGAGACUGUUGAACUUGGGACCGGGAGAGGCAAGAGGUACUUCUGGGGUAGGGGUAAAAUCCUGUAAUCCUAGAAGGACCACCGGUGGCGAAGGCGUCUUGCUAGAACGGAUCCGACGGUGAGGGACGAAGCCCUGGGUCGCAAACGGGAUUAGAUACCCGCGUAGUCC